CCCACGCAGUGACGCACACCAAAAUGCAAAUUUGGAGACGCGCCCCAAAAGGCGCCGGGGCUUCUCCCGUUUGGAAAAAGACGGGAGAAGA
rnacentral:tRNA from 1 species